rnacentral:rRNA from 1 species
UCCGUAGGUGGAUAAUUAAGUCAGAGGUGAAAUUCUGCAGCUCAACUGUAGAAUUGCCUUUGAUACUGGUUAUCUUGAGUCAUUAUGAAGUGGUUAGAAUGUGUAGUGUAGCGGUGAAAUGCAUAGAUAUUACACAGAAUACCGAUUGCGAAGGCAGAUCACUAAUAAUGUACUGACACUGAUGGACGAAAGCGUGGGGAGCGAACAGGAUUAGAUACCCUGGUAGUCC